rnacentral:rRNA from 1 species
GACGAACGCUGGCGGCGUGCUUAACACAUGCAAGUCGAACGGGAAGGCCCCUUUGGGGGUACUCGAGUGGCGAACGGGUGCGUAACACGUGAGUAACCUGCCCUUGACUUCGGGAUAACUUCAGGAAACUGGGGCUAAUACCGGAUAGGAAUCCUUGCUGCAUGGUGGGGGUUGGAAAGCUUCGGCGGUUUUGGAUGGACUCGCGGCUUAUCAGCUUGUUGGUGGGGUAGUGGCUUACCAAGGCUUUGACGGGUAGCCGGCCUGAGAGGGCGACCGGCCACAUUGGGACUGAGAUACGGCCCAGACUCCUACGGGAGGCAGCAGUGGGGAAUAUUGCACAAUGGGCGGAAGCCUGAUGCAGCAACGCCGCGUGCGGGAUGACGGCCUUCGGGUUGUAAACCGCUUUCAGCAGGGGCGAAGCUUGUGGUGACGGUACCUGCAGAAGAAGCACCGGCUAACUACGUG